rnacentral:lncRNA from 1 species
ACAACGUGUCCGCUUAGGCGGCGAUAUGCGCCGCCAUCUUCUUUGCGGGCAAAGGCCGAAAAAAGUUUGGGACUCCACUCCCCCCCGCUGAGCCGAUGGAGGGCAUCGCCCGCUGCCUCAGCACUCUGGUGACGUGGAAUCGGGGUCCCCUCUUUCAGGGCUGAUUUCUGGUAGCACGCUGACGCCUGCCAAGGCAGGGAAAGGGGACGCCGCCUCUGUCCCGGAUGUAAGAUGGCGGCGCGGGGGGCGGCCUGGCGGGGCGGUCACGUGGUGAGGAGUAGCGCGCGAGCCUCCUUAAGUGAUCUCUAAGGUUCAAGAGAUUCUCCUGCCUCAGCCUCCCAAGUAAUUGGAAUUACAGGCCCAUGCCACCCCACCCGGCCAAUUUUUUUUGUAUUUUUAGUAGAGAUGGGGUUUUGCCAUGUUGGCCAGGCUGGUCUCAAACUCCUGACCUCAAGUGAUCCGCCAGCCUCGGCCUCCCAAAGUGCUGGGAUUACAGGCACGAGCCACCAUGCCGGACCUAUUAGUGUAUUUACUGGAUAUCAAGAUGACUAAGAAAUAGCACUUGCCUUGAAGGAGCUUUUCUAUUUGAGGAAAAAGACAUGUAUAUAAAUAACUGCAAACAGAAUGAAACAAGUGUUAUGUAGAUCUACAUACAGUGACAUGCCAUGGGAAUGCUGAACACUGAGCAACAGUUUCAACUAGCGAAUUGGCACAGGAAACAUGAAAAAUAAGCGUAUUUUCAAUAUGACAAGAAUGGUCAUUUCUGGAUAUAAGAACAAGA